AGAGUUUGAUCCUGGCUCAGACGAACGCUGGCGGCGUGCCUAACACAUGCAAGUCGAGCGAUGAAGUUUCCUUCGGGAAACGGAUUAGCGGCGGACGGGUGAGUAACACGUGGGUAACCUGCCUUAUAGUGGGGGAUAGCCUUUCGAAAGGAAGAUUAAUACCGCAUAAGAUUGUAGUAUCGCAUGAUAUAGCAAUUAAAGGAGCAAUCCGCUAUAAGAUGGACCCGCGUCGCAUUAGCUAGUUGGUGAGGUAAUGGCUCACCAAGGCGACGAUGCGUAGCCGACCUGAGAGGGUGAUCGGCCACAUUGGGACUGAGACACGGCCCAGACUCCUACGGGAGGCAGCAGUGGGGAAUAUUGCACAAUGGGCGAAAGCCUGAUGCAGCAACGCCGCGUGAGUGAUGACGGCCUUCGGGUUGUAAAACUCUGUCUUCAGGGACGAUAAUGACGGUACCUGAGG
rnacentral:rRNA from 1 species